rnacentral:lncRNA from 1 species
GAUAUGGCUCGUGGACAGCAGAAGAUUCAGUCUCAGCAGAAAAAUGCCAAAAAGCAAGCUGGACAAAAGAAGAAACAAGGACAUGACCAAAAGGCUGCUGCCAAAGCUGCCUUAAUAUAUACCUGCACUGUUUGUAGGACACAAAUGCCAGACCCUAAGACCUUCAAGCAGCACUUUGAGAGCAAGCAUCCUAAGACUCCACUUCCUCCAGAAUUAGCUGAUGUUCAGGCAUAAAAUUGUUUACAGGUGAAUUCAUGACACCUUUGACUCUUCUACUGUCUCAGACCUUAGGUAACAAACCUGGAUUCAUACCUAUCACUGCCAUUUAGAAUCCGAGUGACUUUAAGUAGUAAACUUAAGUCACAUCUCUGCAUCUCAGUCCUUGUCUCUAAAGUGAGGAUAACCACCUACUUUACUGGCCCCUUAGGAGGGGCAAUGUUCCUCCAGGGAGAAGAGAAUUCCUGAUCAGCCUGCAGACUGGAAAGAUCUCUCCCAUUUCCCUGCACUGGACAGUCAGCACACAGGGACAGGAGUUCUUAGGAACAAAUGGUUUCCCUGUGAGAGGCCCAAAGUGUCCAAAAACAAAGUGACCUCAUGGAAGAGAAACCUCAAACCUACAACAAUCUUGCCCCUUUAAGCCCCCAAAAUGCCCCUUGGAUGAGGAGUGAUCCCAUGAGUGUUGAAGGAAGCUUUGCCGUUACAGGACAAUCAAGGUACCAGGUUAUCAUCAAAUCCAAAUCCUGUCCUUUGUAAUUAUUAUUACACCAAUCAUUUUUUUUCCCCUUUGAGAACCAACACUUUUCCAAAAAUAUGAAUCAUUUGGCAGAAAAUCUCUCAAAAACAGUCUUCACCUCUCUACUUUUUCAAGCAAGGGACAAGACCACUUUUUCAUUUUAAUCCACUAUCUUUAGGAACAUGCAAUGUAGCAUGGAGGGAUGACUCAGAGCUGGGCCUCCUGUUUGGGUUUUUGUCCUCUUCGCUGAUAUGGAGCACUGGAUGUGACAGGCUUGAGACACAACACGUUCACCAACCUUGGAAAGCGGCAGACACUCAGGACUCACCAGUUUGGCAGAGUGACCACAUACUACUUAGGGACAUGUGUUCUUUGGUUGGUGCCCUCAGAGUGAGACCCUCCCUCAGCCAUGUAGCCUUAAGCAAAUUACUGUACUGAAUCUCAGUUUCUUCUUCUGUUCAACGGGGAUAAAAAUAGCAGCUACAUCAAUUGGGGGGGGGUCAUGAAUCUUAAAUAUGAACAUUUAGAUGCUUAGCAUGGCACAGGGUGGUGAGCAAGGGCUCAUGAGCGUUAACUGCUGUUAUUACGAUGACUCCCAGCAAGAAAGGUCCCCGGGAGACCGCCUGCCCUCCUGCAUCACUGGUUACACCCACGCUCUGUGUCUUUUCUUCCACCCAUUAAACAAAACUGAUAGAAGUAGCCUGAACCGCCGGUGACUAGAGCCCUCCCAGGGUUUUCCCCCAUAAUCUGGUGAAGCUCCCAAAUAAGCGGCUUCUGCCAAAAGAGAAUUUCCCAUCAUUCUGUGAAAGCCAAUCCAGUCAUUCCCGAGAGCCUCGUUUCUUAACACGGCCGAAUGCCCAGCUGGACCGCACAUGUGCACCUCUGCGAGCCGCAGCCGCAGCAGCAUCAGCGCCGGCAGACACACCAGCAGACACACCAGGAGCAGGCGCGGGCGCCGGGGACCUCUGUCAGACCAAGUUGUCAGGCCUUGGCUGGUGAUCCCUGGUGACAGAAGCCCGCAGAGCCUCUCAUUUGGCACCAUUUCAGGCACUAAAAAGAAAAGAGCUCGGAGCGCUGGCAGCCGCAUUGAUCUAAUGAGGAUUGGGGAGGCCGUGCUGCUCUCCACGUGGUUAUUUUCUAUCGUUUGUAUCCUGUAGGGGGUCACUCCGAAGUUAAAUGAAGACAACAACAGCAGCUGCAGCCUUUGUUGAGGUCCAGAUUGCGAGCACCGCUGAGCGGGCCCCAGCCCUGCACUUCAUUACGUGUAAGCACCAUUAAUAACCAACAAUGGGUUCUCGAAUCAGCGGACAAGUGUCCCCCCCCCCCGAGCUCGUGCCCCUGGUUAGGGCUUAAGUCUUUGUGCAUCUUCCUGGCUAACACAUGCGUCCCCAGGGACUCGCUGCCUCAAAAUGAUAUUCCCAACAUAAGUGCCAGACAGGGGCCUAUCUGCCAAUCUUUUCUAUUUUAUGUCCCCAGGACUGUUCUUUCUCCACCAAACCUCCACAGCAUAGCAGCAGUUGUAGCCCACCCUAUCCAGCAUUGCUUUCUUGUAAAGUUGGGGGAUGGGAGGGUGUGUGUGUGGAGUUUUUCUAAAACAAGUCAUAUUUUACAUGCAUUAGGUAACCUUGAAAUUGUAUUAGUUCUCUAUGGCUACAUUAAAAAUUACCCCCAAAGCAUAGUGGAUAACACAAUCAUAAAUAUUUCUUACCCUUACAAUAUCUGUGGGGUCGGGGGUUCAGGCUUUCCUUAGCUGGGUCCCUCGUGAGAUCAGAGUCAAAGUGUCAGCUAGAGUUGCUGUCGCUUGAAAGGCUCACCCACCUGGUGGGUGGGCUGGUGCUGUCCUGUGGGUGGGGGCCCCACUUUCUCUCCACAUGAGCCUCUCCGGCUAUGGGAAUGUCCUCUCAACAAGGCCACAAACUUCUCCCAGAGUGAGUGAGCAAUAAAGGGAGCCAGGUGAAAGUCAUCAUUUUUAUGACUCAGCCUCAGAAGUCACGCUCUCUUCAUUAGAAGAGUCAUUCAGUUGGGGAGGGAAUUAACGCCAUUUGUUUUUUUUUUUUUUUAAAUUGAGGUAUAGUUGAUUUACAAUAGGAGUUUCAGGUAUAGUGAUUCCCAAGUUUUAAAGGUUAUACUCCAUUUAUAGUUAUCAUAAAAUAUUGGCUAUAUUCCCAGUGUUGUACAAAAUCUCUCUCUCUCUCUCUCUUUUUUUUUUUUUUUGGUCUUUUUUGUCUUUUUAGGGCUGCACCUGGGGCAUAUGGAGGUUCCCAGGCUAGGGGGUCUAAUUGGAGCUACAGCUGCCGUCCUGUGCCACAGCAUAGCAACACCAGAUCCGAGCCACAUCUGCAACCUGCACCGUAGCUCACGGCAACACCAGAUCCCUAACCUUCUGAGCAAGGCCAAGGAUCGAAUCCGCAACCUCAUGGUUUUGAGUUGGAUUCAUUUCCACUGCACCAGGACGGGAACUCCCAAAAUAUCUUUGUAGCUUAUUUUACAUCUAAUCAUUUGUACCUCUUAAUCCCCUACCCCUAUAUUGCCCCUCCCCACUUCCUUCUCCCCACUGGUAACCACUAGUUUGUUCUCUACAUCUGUGAAUCUGUUUCUUAUUAUAUUCAUAGUUUACUUUCUUUUUUAGAUUCCAAAUACAAGUGAUAUCAUAUAAUAUUUGUCUUUAUCUGACUUAUUUCACUAAGCAUAAUGCCUCCAAGUCCAACUCUUUGUUACAAAUGGCAAAAUUUCAUUCUUUUUUAUGGCCGAGUAGUAUUCCAUUGUGUAUAUAUACCACACCUUCUUUAUUCAUUCAUCUGCUGAUGGACACUUAGGUUGCUUCCAUGUCUUGGCUGUUGUAAAUAGUGCUUCCAGAACACUGGGGUUCCUACAUCUUUUUUAAUUAAUGUUUUUGUUUUCCUUGAAUAUAUACUUACGAAUAGAAUUGCUGGAUCAUGUGGUAGUUCUAUUUUUACUUCUUUGAGGAACUUGUAUACUGUUUUCCACAGUGGCUGCACCAAUCUACAUCCCCACCAAUGGCAUAUUAGGGUUCCUUUUUUUCCACAUCCUCCCUAACAUUUGUUAUCUGUGUUCUCGUUGAUGACAGCCCUUCUAGCAGGUGAGAGGUGAUAUCUCCUUGUGACCUUGAUUUGCAUUUUUCUGAUGAUUUUGAUAUGGGGCAUCAUUUCCUGUGAAUGAAUUCCACUUUGGAAGGGAGCAGUAUCACAGAAUUAGUGAGUUUAUUUUAAAAUCACCAUAGACAUUUAGGGGGUGAAUCACUCAUUCCCUUAACAAAUAUUUAUUGAGAACCUACUAUAUGCACUCACUGUUCUAGAUGUUCAGGAUACAUCCUAGACAAAACAGACCAAAGUCCCUGCCUGCCCUUGUCAAGUUAAAUUCUCCUGGAGGGAGACAGAAAAUAAACAAUAAGCAGAAUAAAUACAUUUUAAAGUCUGCUGCAGUUUAAGUACCCUGUGGGGGGAAAGGCUGAGGGGAAGAGGGCUCUGGAAUCCUAGAGUAAGGUUACGUUUUAAAUAGGGCCAUCAGACUCGUCCUGUCCAAGCAGGUAGAGUGGGGCCGAUGAUGGUUUAGAGGGGUGAUGGGCCACCUUGGACAUGGCCUUGCAUGGAGCCCAGUCCCUGUGAACCCUGAUCAUUGUUACAAUGGUCCCUCAUGGGUGCAGAUAAGAAGAGUUUCCCUCAAUUCGGCCUCACCCCUAGACCACCUGGGAGGAAGUGUCCCCAUGGCCAUCCCCAGCUGCAAAUGACCUUCGUGACUGCUCAGACGGAGCUUCUGUGUCACACUGAGACUUGAGGCAGGCAGCCUGUGUGCACAACACAGCACAUCUGGCCAGGGGGAGGAGAGGACGGGACGGUGAGUCAUUCCGUCCUGAAGUGAUCACAGUUGGAGGAGCAGCACUUGUGCAAUGUCGAAUGUGUAAUUUUAGUGUUUCAAUUCAAUCAUGGUGUUUCCACAACUGGAGGCGAGCUCCAAACCACACCCAACAGGAGCUGCCCAGCCCAGGGCACGCCAGGACUUUGGAGGCUUUUGAAUCAUGAAGGAAGGGAGCUGGAAGGAGAAGAUAUUCCAGGCUUGAAUGUGGCCAAAAAGGGGUCAGCGACCCUUGCUGACAGGCUUCCUGGGCCUGGAGGAGCUAGGGGUGAAGCAGAGUAGGGCAGGUGCCAGGGGAUUCCAGAACUGGGGGCACCCAGUUCUAAUUCUGCCAUCCCGGAAAGCUAGAGGGGCCCCAGGGCAGGUGGAAAGGCAGCGGGUGUUGGCCCAGAGAUGUGUAAGCCUUAUUUGAGGGGCAGCUACUGACCUAGAUGGUGUGGUGACUGACACCACUGGGACACAGGCCGCCCCUCAGUUUCCCAUGCAGCAUCCCUGAUGGAGAGGGACCCCAUUCUGAGGAAAGAGAGUGUAGAGGUACACAGGGGGCAGUGGUUCAGGGUCUGUGCAAUGCCUGCACAUGGAGCAAGAGAUGUGCAGGCCUGACAAGGUCACUGGCCCAGCCCAGAGGACCUUGCCCAAAGAGGGCCGUGAGGAGAGGAGGAAUGAGAAAGCUUGAUCCCUGGGGCUGCUGUGGUCACCAGGUGCAGAAGAGCAGGCAGCAAACACCAGGAUGACUGAUGGGGACUUGAAGGAGCCCUGUGGGUACCAGAGCUGUCAUCUACGGCUGCAUCCGAAGCCCACUGAGGCCAGGAGUACGAGGCCCAGAAGCUGAGUUACAGAAAGCAGAACAUUUGUUCUCACUCAGAGGACAAUAUCUGAGGGGUUAAAAGGCAGAGGCUGGGUAGGGGUGGACAUGCAGGUUUGUAUCCUGGUGAUACCACUUACUAGCUGUGUCAGAGAUGUCUCGUACUUAACCUAUCCGCAGCCUCAGCUUCCUCACCUGUCAACCUCACACAACUGGUGAGACUUAAGUGAGAUCAAACACUUAACACAAUUCCUGGUUCAUAGAAAUAGUCCACAAAUAGCUGCUAUUUUUAUUGUGACUAUUUUUACAAAUGUCGUGGACAGCUGCUGCGGGGGCUUUGUUUGCUUUUGUUGCCUGGCAUCUCUUCCUUUGGAAUUGCCCCUCCCUAUCCCAGCCCCUUGGUUCUGCUGUCCAGCUAAUCCUAGCACUUGGACCCCUGCUGACAGGAGAUGGGCAAGUGAGACCACAUUGGGCCAAUCAGAUUCUCUCUCCCGGGGACUGGAACUCUCAGUGCGGUCAUGCAGGAAGGCAGUUAGCGCUGAGUCAUCCUGCGACAGGGAAUUUCCUGGAGCUGCUCUUGCCAUCAUCCCUCCCGGGUCUGGUAUGAAACUCACUCUUCCAGUGUCUGAACUUGGCCAGUAUCGCCCCGGUGAGCCCCUCACUGCAGCCAAGUAACCCUCCUGCCAAAACGGCCACUGGGCGAGACGUGUCUGGAGAAAUGGCCAUCUGAAUGGCAGUGUGGGGAGGAGGCUGGGAAAGAGAACAUGGCCUUCCCACCUCCCCCCUUCCCUCUUCACUUCAGGCCAUCAAGAGGGCUUCUCUACCCUUUCCUUUUCUUGCCUUUUUAAAUUUAUUUUUGUGUUAAGUUGAGAGUCAAAUAGUGAAUAGAGUUGGGAUGACUGAGUAGCCAUCUGGAAAAGGUGAGGUUGGAUCAAUACAUGAGGAUACAUUCAAAAUGGAUUGAAGAUUUAAAUGCAGAAAAUAAGAACUUACAGUCAUGAGGAGAAAACACAAAUGAAUUCCUUUAUAAUUUUUGAGUGGGGAGGGUCUUUCUAAUUAUGACUCAGAAUCCAGAAUCUAUCAGAGAAAAUAUUUAUAAAUAUGACUACAUAUCCAUCAGAAACUUAGCCUGAAAGAGUAGCAAAGACAAAUGACAAACUGGAAAAAAUAUUUGCAAUAUAAAGGAUUAAUUUCCCUAAAAUAUGAAGAACUUCUAGAAAUCAAGAAGAAAAAGAUUUAAAGAAAAUAGGAAUGUGGGUAAAGGACAUAAUCAGAGCAUUCAGAGAAAAGGAAAUAUAAAUGACUCAAAAAUUUAGAAGAUCCUUAAUCUCACUUUUAAUAAGAGCAGUCAUAUUGACAUCGGGCAGAUUGACAAAGACUUAAAAGUUUGACAGCACCUUGUUCUGAUGGGGCUGUAGCAAAAUACCCACUCUCACACAAUUCUUGUGGGAGAAUACGAUGAUACAACACAACCCUUAUGGGGAGCAAUUAGGUGUUAUCUAUCAAAAAUACAUUUGCCCUUUGACCUCUGGAAAUUGAUCCUCCAGCUAUAUCCGCACGCAAAUGAAAUAACAUAUGUACAAAGUUAUUCAUUCCUGCAGACUAUUAUAUUUGGAGUGGCGGAGCAAUGAGAUCUUGCUGUAUAGCACAGGAAACUAUGUCUAGUCACUAGUGAUGGAACAUGAUGGAGGAUAAUGUGAGAAAAAGAAUAUGUAUGACUGGCUCACUUUGCUGUGCAGUAGAGAUUGACUGAACACUGUAAAUGAACUAUAGUGCAAAAAAUAAAAAUCUUAUAUAAAAAAUCCCAAAGGUGUUCUUUCCAACAUUGUUGGUAUUAACAGAAUACUGGGAAUACCUUUAGUGACUAGUUUGGUUUAUUUUAAGCCAAAAUUUGUUGUUGUUGUUUUUUUAAAUCCAUCUGCUAUCUACUCUAUUUCCAUUUCCCAGUUCUGAAUUACCAGAGGCUUUAAAUUUUUUAGUUGAUUUUUCAGGAAUUUAUUAAUUUACUUCUUUUUAAUACUUAUUUCUUGAUUUUCAGUUUAAGCAUUAUCUGCUGACUUCCUACUGAUGAAGAGAGGUAGUUAGCUUUACUAUGUAUCUCCCACUCAUAAUGCACACACAGGGAGCUAUUCACUAUCCUCCUUCAUUUUUCCAAAGGUUACAUUGUGAUUUUUGUUAAACUAAUAUUCAGUAUUUUGAGUAUUAUUACUGUGCAAAUAUUGCUUAUAGUUGAGACAUAGGUAUGGGAUGAUUAAAAUUCCUUUCUUGAACAUUUAAAAUUUCUUUUCUGGAGUUAAUAAUUGCCUUGUUUUUCCUGGACCAUUUCAUUUUCAUUUGACCCUUUUGGGUAUAUUUAUCAAUAAUUCAUUCCCUAAAUGUCAUGUAUGUCAUACAUUUGAGAUCCUCCAUCGGUUCUACUUUUUCCUAGAGAUACUGCUAUGGCAGCCCUUCGUGUUCUUGCUCUACUCUGCACUGAUUUUCUUCUGGGCCUGUGGCAUAGCUGUCUUCUUAAAACCUGUCUUUAUUGUCACCGAGAAUUUCCUUUGCUCACUCUCUUUCAUGUGUUGGAUCCAUUGUGGCCUGGAUCUCAAGUCUCCCAGAUAGCUUACUCAUUUUAGUAAAGUACAUCCUCACAGAUUCUUAAGAAAAAGUGCAUAGAAAAAAAACUGAGGCCCUUCAUGUCUGGAAAACACCUUUGUCAUACACUCACAUUUGGUGUUAAUUUGGCUAUACAAUUGGCUCUCCAUAUCCAUGGAUCCUGCAUCCUCAGAUUCAACCCACUCUGGAUGGAAAAUAUU